UAUUGGGUUGGCCAAAAAGUUUGUUCUGGUUUUUCCAAAAGAUGACGCAGAAAAACCUGAACAUACUUUUUGACCAACCCUACG
rnacentral:miRNA from 1 species